rnacentral:lncRNA from 1 species
UUUUAUUUAAAUAAGAAUUAUCAAUCCAUUAAUUGUCUAAUGUCCCUACCCAAUCCAGGGUCGUGGGGGAGCCAGAGACUAGCAAGCAAGGUGCACAAGGCAGGAUACACCCCGGACAGCUCACAAAUAAACACAACUGUACUGUAUGAGCAGAUGUGAACAACUGACAGUUUUUAGACAUCAGCAAUCACCUCAGGACACCAAUAAACAAAAGUUGA